rnacentral:rRNA from 1 species
UACGGAGGGGGCUAGCGUUGUUCGGAAUUACUGGGCGUAAAGCGCGCGUAGGCGGCUUUGUAAGUUAGAGGUGAAAGCCCGGAGCUCAACCCCGGAACUGCCUUUGAAACUAGAUUGCUAGAAUCCUGGAGAGGUGAGUGGAAUUCCGAGUGUAGAGGUGAAAUUCGUAGAUAUUCGGAAGAACACCAGUGGCGAAGGCGACUCACUGGACAGGUAUUGACGCUGAGGUGCGAAAGCGUGGGGAGCAAACAGG